AAGUCGUAACAAGGUUUCCGUAGGUGAACCUGCGGAAGGAUCAUUAAUGAAGUAACUUGGUUGGGUUGUUGCUGGCUCCUAGGGGCAUGUGCACGCCUGCCAUCAGUUAUCACACCCCAGUGCACCUUUUGUAGGCUAAAAUACACCUCCCGAGGAUAAAAACUCGGACGUUGAGGACUGCCGUGCGUAACCAGCCCGGCUGUCUUCUUUUGUGUUCUUAGUCUAUGUCCUUACUUAUACUCCAGACGCAUGUGACAGAAUGUAGAUUUUAGGCCUUUGUGUCUUAAAAACUAAUACAACUUUCAACAACGGAUCUCUUGGCUCUC
rnacentral:misc_RNA from 1 species